rnacentral:rRNA from 1 species
UACGAAGGGGGCUAGCGUUGCUCGGAAUCACUGGGCGUAAAGGGUGCGUAGGCGGGUCUUUAAGUCAGGGGUGAAAUCCUGGAGCUCAACUCCAGAACUGCCUUUGAUACUGUAGAUCUUGAGUUCGGGAGAGGUGAGUGGAACUGCGAGUGUAGAGGUGAAAUUCGUAGAUAUUCGCAAGAACACCAGUGGCGAAGGCGGCUCACUGGCCCGAUACUGACGCUGAGGCACGAAAGCGUGGGGAGCAAACAGG